rnacentral:rRNA from 1 species
UACGUAGGGAGCAAGCGUUGUCCGGAAUCAUUGGGCGUAAAGCGCGCGUAGGCGGCCCGAUAAGUCCGCUGUAAAAGUCAACGGCUCAACUGUUGAAAGCCGGUGGAUACUGUCGGGCUAGAGUACGGAAGAGGCAAGUGGAAUUCCAGGUGUAGCGGUGAAAUGCGUAGAUAUCUGGAGGAACACCGGUGGCGAAGGCGGCAUCCUGGACCGGUAUUGACGCUGAGGAGCGAAAGCCAGGGGAGCAAACGGG